CUCGAGCGUCUUGAUUAAAUCUCGCGAUGCGCCAAACUAUCCGCGCGAUUUACACGUUAUCACAUCCCACGCAUCUCGAAAGUUUCGCGGAAGCCACGCGUUUACAAGUCAUCUUGCGACAAUCGUAUCUCGCGUGCUCCACUUUACUCAUCCCCUUCCGUCAACGCAGCACGCGACACGUUUAUCGCUGGCACGCGUCCUCGCGUUACCGACAGAGCAAACUCGUUACUAGGUUAGAAUCCGCUGAAAAGGGAUGCUAGCGAGAGUGCACGGGGGUGGUGAGCGAUCGUCGCUUCUCCCCUCCGUCAGGCGCGCGCGACCCCUCUUCACCCUCGCCGUUUCUCGCAGUUUCCAGGAUCUCCGGAAAACUUUGCUGGAAAGCGGCAGGCGGCGGCUGCCGGGUGGGGAGUUGGCGAAUACAUACAGGGUAGGUAGACUACGAGUAGGGGAAACGGUUCCCUUUGCUCCGCCGAGCCACCCCCUAUCCACCAGCCACCCUUUUGUCUGUCUGUGUGUAAGCACGAACGCGGUAAAUAAAAAAGUUUUAUGUCACUCGCGAAUUCGUCGGCGCCGGCAAUGCGCAGGCACCAACAUGGCCGCGCACUUCGCGAAACUUUGUCGAAACACCUACAGAUUAUCAAACAACAGCUACACGAGAGCGUUUACUCACGGAGCGGCAGGGAUAGUUAGGAAGAAACUAAUAUUCUCGAACGAACCGAGCGAGCUGAAUACUAAACGCGCCUCUUUUGCUAAUUGCGAGUGUUCAUCUCAGAACAGAUGCAAUUUUUGGAAAACAGUAGUCAGGGCUGAAAUAUAUAACAAAUGAUCACCUGUCAACUGAAAACUGUUACUUGAUGUAUAUAAUCUAAUGCGUGACGAUACUGCGAGCCUUUGUCACGUAUUUAACUAAUCAAUACUUAAAAUCCGUAACAAUAAUCAUUUAUUCAGCUUCAUCAAUCAGUAAGAAAACUUUUGUUCGUGUAAUUAUAAAGCGUGCAAAUGUACAUAUUAAAUUGAAUUACAUAGAAACGAAACAGCUGACUGCACGGUCCGCUUAUAGGGCGUAACGUAUUCAAUUACUGAUCUGCUAUUAAAACUUGAGGUGAAGAUCUCGCGAGACAAUGGUACGAGCGCACGAAGCACGUGGCGGAUGUUUGGAAAAGUGUCUCUGUAUCGAAUCGAGUGGAAGGAAGACACGCGAGUGCCAUCACUCCGAUGGAAAUGAAAGAGGGAACGCUGCAUCUGCUCGACAUAGACCGACUCUCGAGUGCAUACGAUGGUUUCUUUCUGGUCGUCGGAAGCUGUCUACUCGUGGCACGGUAGCCGUACCUGGUUGCCUGCCGCCUGCCCUCGUGGGAGUCAGCUAAGGGAAAUCAAUAUCUCACUAGGGGUAGAGGAACACGAGGAAGAGAGAGACGAAGCAGCGAGAGUAGGAGCCGGCAAAGGUGGAGAAGGAAGAUGAGGAGGACGCGGCAAAGAAGCAAGAGAGGAGACGCGAACGCGGUGGGAGGGUGGUCGCGCGCUCGUCGACUUCGCUCCCUCGCGGCCCUCCGCGGCCGUAGUGCCACGCGUGAACUCGACCGCCGCGGUAGCACGCGUGAACCCGCGCCAGCGAUCGCCGACCAAUCACCCCGCGCUAUCGCGUGGCGGUUGUUUUUAUCGGUCGCGUACCGGUUCGGCAGCGGUCAGAAGUCACUGCGAUUCACAAACUGAAAAUUGAUUGCUGGUACACAGAUACGCGAUGUGCUGAGCACACACAUAAAUCGGCCUGUCACAUACAUGUGACGCGUGAUAGCGAAUAUUUUAAACUUUUUAAAGGAAUCUGAGAUUUGCGUUAUUUUUGUAAUCUCGUGAGAUGUUGUUAUGAAUACAUGAUGCAUAUCAUUUUCAUAAUGAAAUAUUUAUUCAAAAAUAUCGAGUAUAUGUAAAGUGCUACUUACUUGAAGAAUAAAACAAACGGAGAAAAUGUA
rnacentral:lncRNA from 1 species